AACGAUGAAGCCAGCUUGCUGGUGGAUUAGUGGCGAACGGGUGAGUAACACGUGGGCAACCUGCCCCCGGCUCUGGGAUAACUCCAAGAAAUUGGUGCUAAUACCGGAUAUUCUUCUUUCACCGCAUGGUGGUUGGAGGAAAGUUUUUCGGCUGGGGAUGGGCCCGCGGCCUAUCAGCUUGUUGGUGGGGUGAUGGCCUACCAAGGCGACGACGGGUAGCCGGCCUGAGAGGGUGACCGGCCACACUGGGACUGAGACACGGCCCAGACUCCUACGGGAGGCAGCAGUGGGGAAUAUUGCGCAAUGGGCGGAAGCCUGACGCAGCGACGCCGCGUGAGGGAUGACGGCCUUCGGGUUGUAAACCUCUUUCAGCAGGGACGAAGCGUGAGUGACGGUACCUGCAGAAGAAGCACCGGCCAACUACGUGCCAGCAGCCGCGGUAAUACGUAGGGUGCAAGCGUUGUCCGGAAUUAUUGGGCGUAAAGAGCUCGUAGGCGGUUUGUCGCGUCGGCUGUGAAAGCCCGGAGCUCAACUCCGGGUCUGCAGUCGAUACGGGCAGACUUGAGUGUUGCAGGGGAGACUGGAAUUCCUGGUGUAGCGGUGAAAUGCGCAGAUAUCAGGAGGAACACCGGUGGCGAAGGCGGGUCUCUGGGCAACAACUGACGCUGAGGAGCGAAAGCGUGGGGAGCGAACAGGAUUAGAUACCCUGGUAGUCCACGCCGUAAACGUUGGGCGCUAGGUGUGGGGGC
rnacentral:rRNA from 1 species